rnacentral:rRNA from 1 species
GACGAACGCUGGCGGCGUGCUUAACACAUGCAAGUCGAGCGGUAAGGCCCUUUCGGGGGUACACGAGCGGCGAACGGGUGAGUAACACGUGGGUGACCUGCCCUCAGCUCUGGGAUAAGCCUGGGAAACCGGGUCUAAUACUGGAUAUGACUCCAUGACGCAUGUUGUGGGUGGAAAGCCUUGUGCGGCUGAGGAUGGGCCCGCGGCCUAUCAGCUUGUUGGUGGGGUGANGGCCUACCAAGGCGACGACGGGUAGCCGGCCUGAGAGGGCGACCGGCCACACUGGGACUGAGACACGGCCCAGACUCCUACGGGAGGCAGCAGUGGGGAAUCUUGCGCAAUGGGCGAAAGCCUGACGCAGCGACGCCGCGUGAGGGAUGACGGCCU